GAAGCCUUGGAGCCACUUCCGGAUUAUGGGUCUCCGCCUAUCCGUUCCCGGAAGUAGAAGGUAGUGACGUUGCCAUGGUGGCGUCUCUUGGUGGGUAGCCGACCCCGCCCCUCCAUGGCCUCGCAGACCACACUCAGAGUUCAUUUCCUACCCCACCUCCACCCCUCCAACCCUCACCCCUGCCACAAUCCCAGCCCCCAGGCUCCUGGUUCAAUUUUUCUGGCUUCCCGGGGCCUGACCUACCAGCCAAUCACGCGAAGGAGGGAGGUGGGGGGCGGCCAGGACAGAAGGCCAGGGAAGGGCCCGGUCUGGAUGAAGGGCUGGGGAGGGCCGGGCCAGGCGGGCAGCAGGUUGGGGAGGGUGAAAUGACCGGAACCUCCGUUCAGGGCAGGUGCUGGCCCUGGUGCUGGUGGCCGCUUUGUGGGGUGGCACGCAGCCGCUGCUGAAGCGGGCCUCCGCCGGCCUGCAGCAGGUUCAUGAGCGUACCUGGGCCAAGCAGUUGCUGCAGGAGAUGAAGACCCUCUUCUUGAAUACUGAGAUCUAACCCUAGCUGUGCCCAUCUGUAACUCUCUGGCCGUCGUCUUCACGCUGGUUGUUGGAAAGAAGCAGUUGCAGGCAUGGUGCU